CACCACCGGGAAUUGCUGGAAAUAGUCCAUUUUAUGGCGGCGUGUGCGCCGCUUUCUCCGGGAAGAGGAAGCGGGCGGGGUACACAUCCGAGCCUCUGUUGCGGUAGCCUCCGUUGAGCCGAGGUGGGAGGCGUAGCCGCUGUGCCGUGGCGAGGUUGGAGGUGGGCGGCUGGCGGGCGAGCGAGGAGCGGAGUGGCGGGAGAGCGAGCAGCCGAAGCUUGGCCUGUGACGCCCACUCUCCGCGGCGAAUGCUCCGAUGCAGGUGAGGCAGCAGGUGGAGAACCGCGGCGUCUCCGAGGCCCGCCCAGAGCCAGACGAGUCCCCUCAAAGACGUGCUCCCUCUCUGGGAAGAGCCGCUGUUUCCCCCUGAGCUUCUCCGCCCAAGUGGAGAGCGCUGCGUCCUGUCGCUCGAAGAGUUCCGAGUCCGCUGGGUCCACAACGCGGGGUCGUGUCAUUCUGUCAGGAUCUGUGUCGUGGAUGAGAGAAGGAGGACCCAAACGCUGGACUCACAGGACAAUUCUGGAGAAGAUGGGCCUGCAGGGGAAAGUCACCCCCUUGCAGGCCAGAAGACAUGAGAUAACUUUAAAGAAUACAAAGAUUGCAAGUAUCCAGGCUCAGGAGAGGGGGUCAGUGGGAAGCCCUCUGCUGCUACUUGGCCCUGGUUUGCCCUCAUGGAUGAGGUGAUAGGACAGAUGCCUUCCAUUAAGCCUCCUGUCCUAAUUUCCUCUCUCUCUGAGGACACUCCAGGGCCAAGCGCAGCAGUGGGUGACCAAAACGACAGCGAUGACGAAGCGGCUCAGCCACCUACGACAGGGAGAAAAAGGAAAAGAGAUGAUGAGCUGCUAGACCUCAUCAGAGAGGACAUGAGGCAGCAAGGAGAGGCUGAGGAGAGGAGAGCAGGGAGAGGACGGACAGACUGUUUUCACUUCUAGAAAGAUUUGUUCCCAAAUGAGUUAUGUAUUGAGAAAUUUAUUUAUUUGAAUAUAUUUGUUACAUUGUUAUAUGUGUUGCAUUAGUUUAAAGGUUUUAUGUUAUUAAUAAAUUGAUUCAAAC
ensembl:lncRNA